rnacentral:rRNA from 1 species
CCAUCUCAGUUCGGAUUGCAGGCUGCAACUCGCCUGCAUGAAGCUGGAAUUGCUAGUAAUCGCGGAUCAGCAAGCCGCGGUGAAUACGUUCCCGGGCCUUGUACACACCGCCCGUCACACCAUGAGAGUCGGGAACACCCGAAGUCCGUAGUCUAACCGCAAGGGGGCGCGGCCGAAGGUGGGUCCGGUAAUUGGGGUGAAGUCGUAACAAGGUAGC